CGUGCACCGAACGCCAGUUGGCGGACGAACUCUUACGCGGCCGACCGUACGCUUUUCGUCGGCUCGUGUGUUUCACCUGUCGCUACCGGCGCCACCGGAAAUCCUCCACGCGUGUCGCGUCGCUAGGGACGCGGUGCUGGAUGUCGUCGUCGAUGCCUUCGUCGACGAGUAUCUGCCGCCGACCCUGCGGAAUUGGUCCCGUUCCGGGUGUUCCGCGACGAAACGCGCCUGCUUCCUCAGCAACGGCACCGUCAGAACGUACGUGGCCACCAUCACGAUCAUGGGGAUGUAGAAAGCGAUCAGCGAGCCGAACACAAAGAACGUUCGAUUGUUUAUCACGCACGUGCUCGGCCGUGGCAUGAUGUUCACGGAAUUGAUUAUACCUGGACAAUCAAAAUGAAAGCAAUUUGAAUGCCGUCCGUAGCAGGAAGGCGACAGAGAAGAUAACGAAGAUGUUUCCGUAUGCGACGCAAAUGAUUCUUGCUGCUGCAGACGCGAUCGCUUAUGCCACGAGCGGCAAGAUUCAUAGGAACGUCGUCUACAUACGAGAAUAGAGAACGCCGGCGGAGGUUUUGGAUCGUGCGACAAGGAGAGACGAUCGAUCGACCAACUCUCGUUAUGCGUUCCUGCCACGUGACGUCACGUACCAGGCGUGGAUAAACCGAGGAGUUACGCGGAACAAGGAUGAGUUCACCGUGCGACAAAGAUGAAAGCAGUUGGAGUACCAACUUCUAUUCAUGUAAUUCUAUUACUGUGGGACUCAUUUUACUAGGAGCGGAGGAGCACAGUGGAGCAAAUUCUAGGGGAAGUAAAGGUGUGCAGUAAAGUCUCCCUAAUUGACGCUCAGAUUGUCCACAAAAAUGGAUAAUUUUGG